UAGUACAUUUUCACACUGCUGAUAAAGACAUACCUGAAACUGGGCAAGUUACGAAAGAAGGAGGAUUAAUGGACUUAUAGUUCCACAAGGCUGGGGAUGCCUCCCAAUCAUGGUGGAAGGUGAAGGCAUGUCUCACUUGGUGGCAGACAAGAGAAGA